rnacentral:sRNA from 1 species
CCCGGGCGGACGAGCACGAACACACGUAUCAAGAUAAAGAGGAAGUUGUCUUAUGGAUGAAUACUGUUGGGCCCUACCAUAAUCGUCAAGAAACAUAUAAGUACUUUUCACUUCCAUUCUGUGUGGGGUCAAAAAAAAGUAUCAGUCAUUACCAUGAAACUCUGGGAGAAGCACUUCAAGGGGUUGAAUUGGAAUUUAGUGGUCUGGAUAUUAAAUUUAAAGGUAAGUAAACCUUAAUAGUCCUUACAGUGCAAUUCGGAUUGUAGACAAGGGUUUCAUAUUUUGGCACUAUUGACUCUGGUGUUGGAUAAUUCUUUGUUGUAUGGAGCUGUUAUGUACAUGUUAGGAUGUCUAGCAGAGUCCCUGGCCUGUACCCCCAGAUGCCAGUAGCACCUUCCAGUUGUGAAAACCAAAAAAGUCACCAGACAUUGCUAAUUGCCGCCAGUUGAGAACCACUACUUUAGACUCUAAAGUGUGUUUUAGUCUGUAAAUGAGGUAUAUUGCAUUUAG